rnacentral:tRNA from 1 species
GGAGAGAUGGGUGAGCGGCUGAAACCAGUAGUUUGCUAAACUGCCGCACUGGGAAACUGGUGCCGAGGGUUCGAAUCCCUCUCUCUCCGCAA